rnacentral:sRNA from 1 species
UGCCUAAAUACCUAAGCCUACAAUUGC